AAUUCCACCUGCGAUUACAAAAUUGGGAAAAUUAAUGUCCAGCCUCAAAAAGAAAAGAUUCAAACUGACAACUGCAAAGCCACUGAUGAAAGGCACCCUGCUGGAACCCGGUCCUGUGGACACCAGCAGCUCGCGCCCUGCCUGACCUCGCCGCACAUACGUACAGGAUCAUGCCGCACGGAUGCCGCGAGGCAUCUGAAUCCACACAGCAGAGGCGCCAGGGGGAACAUAAAAGCCAUGAAGAAGUGAAUGACAGAGAGGGCCUUUCUGACGCUCCUCAAGGAAAAUUGAAGCCCACUGGGAAAGUGAAGAAAACUCUUCAAUAAAGCACACCAGACCAUCGUGGUUGUAUGAAGGACUUCAUUGUUGGAUGGAAUGGAAUUUGUUUCACAUGAAAAGUCCAGAAACCUUCUCUCCUACUUCUCCAUCUUCAGAAUCUUCAGAGCUUCUCAAGGACACUUCUGGAUAAGAGAACAAAAUCUUUCUCUUGAAGGUCUGCAUCCUUUACCAAAGUGCAAAAUGAUCAAUUCAAGCAAUAUCUUCCACUACUCUUUCCUCUCUAAGAGGUUUCCUAUGCACUUCACUCACUGCUUCUUGAGCAGCACACUGCACUGUUUUUGCCAGAACCCUCUACAGGGAAUCCCAAAGAGGACGUCACUUUCUUCUGGAAGCCACUGGACCUUGAUUCUGUGCUCCAGCCCUUCAGGAGGCCUGGCAAGAUUCUGAAGUGUGGGAAUGUAGAAGCGAGUAGCUCAUGGAAG
ensembl:lncRNA